CCUACGGGUGGCAGCAGUCGAGAAUCAUUCACAAUGGGGGAAACCCUGAUGGUGCGACGCCGCGUGGGGGAAUGAAGGUCUUCGGAUUGUAAACCCCUGUCAUGUGGGAGCAAAUUAAAAAGAUAGUACCACAAGAGGAAGAGACGGCUAACUCUGUGCCAGCAGCCGCGGUAAUACAGAGGUCUCAAGCGUUGUUCGGAAUCACUGGGCGUAAAGCGUGCGUAGGCUGUUUCGUAAGUCGUGUGUGAAAGGCGCGGGCUCAACCCGCGGACGGCACAUGAUACUGCGAGGCUAGAGUAGUGGAGGGGGAACCGGAAUUCUCGGUGUAGCAGUGAAAUGCGUAGAUAUCGAGAGGAACACUCGUGGCGAAGGCGGGUUCCUGGACAUUAACUGACGCUGAGGCACGAAGGCCAGGGGAGCGAAAGGGAUUAGAUACCCUUGUAGUC
rnacentral:rRNA from 1 species